UGUAUUUAUAAAGUCAUAUUUUGUAAAAUCAAUUGAUUUUACAAAAUAUGAUUGGUUGUUUUUUAUUUAAGCCCAUGCAUAUUCCAAGUUAAUAAAGCAAUAUAAAAGAGCUAGUUUUUUGAAUUAUUAGAACCAUUUAGCAGUUUCUUCAGUUAAAAAACAACGAAGAGAUAUAACUUCUAAAAUUUUUUAUCACAAUGAUUGCGCCUGUGGUAUUCAUUUUAUUAAUAGUAAGCUCUGCGUGUUUACAUAAAAGCCCAAAGGUCAUUUCUUUGAAUGAGGAUUCCGGUUUAUCCAUCGAUACUGUAAAAGACCCAACUGUGAAUGAAAAGCGAUUGUUUACUUGUGAUCACAACUGCUGGUACAAUGAUUGGAAACACCGUGACCAGAGAGCACGGAACGACAAUAUGUUUAAUCGCCGUUGCUCGUAUUCGUAUUGGUUUGGUAGAUGCUACUGCUAUGGUUCUCCUCGCUGCUAAUUUUUCAACGUUGUUCAAAAUUUUUAUUAUCACAUUAUUUUAUACAAGUGAUUUUUAACUAUACUCUUGUUAACUAAAAAAACAAAAUUCUUUAAA